rnacentral:lncRNA from 1 species
GUUGUGAAAACUACAUGGUUGUAAAACUACAUAUCUGUAAUAAAUGUCGUAAUCAGUUUUAAGACCAGAGAAAUAAUCAAUAUUGGCGGAAAUCGGGUUUUUCGCAGACAGCGAAAGAUGAUGUUCCUGUUGAUAAUCGCAUGUCUGCUGGGUAUCACAUACAGCAGCGAAGACAAACUCCUCUUCCAGGAGACAAACACUCAAGAACCCCCGGAACAAAAGGAGCAACACCAUGAUGUCAUUAUUAGUCCAUCCAAUCGUGAAGUGACUGAUCAGACGGACUAUCACAAUCUAAAACGUGACCAGGAAAUACAAACACAAAAAACGAAAACCCUAAUAGCUGGUACUGUUACGCUGGCCGCUGUCCUAAUGCUGGUGGUAUUAGCAUUGUGUCUUUGCUUUUUCUCAAAUCCGAAAAUAAAUUUCCCCGAUGGGUUUACUUUACCGACCUAUGUAUGACCAACAGUUACAGGAACAACUUCAAAGACGACAUCAGAUACAGAAAAGAAGUUUCUCGUUCGUUUUACGUCCGUCCUUUUCGACCUCGACCAAGAGAGCCAGUUUAACACCACCUGAGGGCCGAUUCAACAACACUGGUCGAACUUUCUUAUAACAGUUAAUGAAACCACAAAAACAUAUCACAUGUUAUGACUCCAAAGAUCCACCGGUGGACAUUUUACUGCCUUGACUUGUGUUUGUUUAUGUUAUUGUUAUUUAUCAAAUACACAAAUUCUGUUAUGUUAUUGUGCUAAACGUUUAUUGCUAUGUUUUAGGGUAUUUGUAUCGUCAAAAUACAUUACAAACCUACUAAAAUAUGCUGGAACGCCAAGUCCAUCGGACGAGCAUCUUGUCUUGUCAAAUUAAGAUACUGACAUCACAUAUAAACAUAAAAUAUACAGGAUUUACAAUCCUUUGAUAGUCAGAUUGUAAUAUAAAGAUACCUAAUUAUAUCUUUAUUUUAUAUUUCAUACCCCAUUUUUAAAUAAUAUGAAGGUACAUAAUUAUAAUCGUUAUUUCAUAUUUCAUAUCUCCUUUUGAAACAAUUUUUGUUUGCGGUUGAUUUUGUCCCUUGUUCAUCUAUUUCAUACUCAAAGUGUUAAACUUUCAUUGCGCUCCUUACAUUCCAUGGGAGAUUGUUCCACAUGUCAGCAGUUAUCUGUGUGAACGAUUAUUUUCUUGUAUUUAAUCUGGAGUUCUAUUUAUAUACUUUAAAGUAAUGGCGUCGGUGUGUGAAGCUUGUUAACAAUAAAUAGGUAUGUGACUUCUUUGUCAUAUUAUACAAUACAUACUGUAAUUAUUACAAUGUAAUUUCAAAUAAUUCCAUGUCUGUUACAAGUGCUAUGAUUGGUUAAUAGGAGCAUAUGAGACCCAAAAACAGCUGUUAAUAUUAGUAAAUAGUAUAGUAUAUUAGUAUAUAGUAUAGUAUAUUAGUAUAUUCGUUAAUAUUAACACGACUGUUUUCUUCGUGGAAAUAUUUUUCAAGAUAGUCCAAAUCCUCAUUUUUCAAUAAGCCAUUGUCGUUGUUAGGUGUCUUCCAUUGCAAAGUAUAAACUCACCGUGAAAAGAUUGCUAUAUCUUCUUCCACUUGAGGGAAUAAAUCGAGUGGAUAACACAUCUGCAGUCUACUGUGUAUCAUCAUUUGUAUUAUGUUUGUUUUAUUAUUUAUUAUUAUUAUAACAAUAUUUAAAAUGUAUAUGAUUUAUCAACGAAAUCAACACAGAUUAAAGAGAUUAUCAUUUGAAUCGCAAUAUCUAACUAUUUAAUCCUAUAAUUCACGUAUUUAUAUUUUAUUCCAAAAUCGAGGACAAUUUUGAUUAGCUCAAGCUGUUUUUGUUUAAUAUUUAUUUGUGAGUAAACUGAACGAUACCCAUGUGAUUUAUGCAAACGUUAUGUAUCAUAUACAUUCAAGAAUGAUUUUGUAUAUGUAUGCCAAUAUGUUAUAAGUGUGAAAUUAAAAACA